AAAAAGAAUUCUGGUUUAAAACAUAACGUGCUGACAGCAGCUGAAAUCUCUCCAAUGACCUAUCUAGUCUGGACUAUCCGGUGUAUCUUCUGCAUAAUUAUCUAUACUGGGAUCUUCUGGGAACAGGUGUUACCUGAGUCAAAAGGACAUAUCACAUGCUAAAGGCAGAAUCCUUCUGACAGCAUGAUCAUCACCGUCCUCUGAGUGCUGCAGAGUAGCUAUGCCAUGCAUUAAAUAGAUGAUUGGAUCUUUCUAAUGCCAAUGCAUCUUUAUGGGUAUCUAAAUGAAAUGCAAGACUCCCACCUCCUGAGUGAGUGCACAGUCUCUGGACUAUAAAGUCUUGUAGCUGCUUAUAUUCUGACCCUUGCAUUUAAUAGCUGCAAUGUGAAAGUGUAAACACCACCAGCUACUAAAGCUAACCUGCCAUCUAACAUGGAGGUGCUUCUCUAGGAGGUGAGAGAAGUGAUCUCGACUCCCUAAAGCUUCUAAGUAUGCAGAACCUUCUGCUUUUUGGGAAAAUGAUCCUUUGUACCUACUCAGGAGAGAAGGUAUGUUCGCUUCAGAUUUAAAUUAAUUCUAUAAUUUAGUUCUUCUGCUGGCUUGCUCUAGGUAGGUCACUGCUGAGUAUGCUAAAUGUUUUCGUUAACAUUUGCAGGGAUGUAUUUCUCAUCAGAUGUGAAGAAUGCGAUGCUGGAGAGUUGUGGUGUUCACACAGAGCUCUGGAUUCUUUCCAGAAGGUCUGAGAAGAACACAAAUUUCUGUGUGUGGUCUAUAUGCUAAAGAAUUAGCUUUGGAUUUACUACCAUGGAAUCCAAUCUUUCACAUAUCUGGUGAGAACACUAUAACUGAUAACAUCUGGAACUGCAC
rnacentral:lncRNA from 1 species